CUUAAAAAAGAUCUAAUAAAUUUGGGCAUGUUUCCGCGUAAAUUGUAUUCAAACAUUUUUUUAAGUAUACCAUACCGCCAUGUCAUGUCAUAUGCGCUCUUGAUAUCAAAGAAGACCCCAAUCAAAUGCUCGCCACCAUCAAACGACUUUAGGAUGUUAUCAGUUAAUUUAACCAAAUGAUCGAUCGUCGACCGACCUCUCCGAAAACCGGCCUGAUAGGGGACGAUGAUCUCGUUUUCUUCCAGAAAGACCCGCAUGAAGUCAAACUAAUUGGACGGUAGUGCUGCGCCAACAGCGGAUCUUUCCCCGUUUUAAGUAUGGGAACGACUAUGGCCCGUUUCCACUCAUCAGGGUUUGCUACAAUGACGAAGCAUCUGAUUGUGGAUACUAUCGUGACCGGGAGCGCAGGAUUUCGUGUUUUUAAGUGCAGAUUCUAAUUCAUCCAUACUAAAAGCUUUAGUCUCAAGGAAAAACGCUGGAUAGUUUAACGAACUACUGACCUGAUAGAAAUGGUCUGCCAAGAGGUUCGAAAUUUCUUGUAAAUCUUUCGUAACCACCCCAUCGUUUUUCCGAAGGAAUGCCGGGUAGUUUAGUUUAGAUUUGCCAGAUAUCGCACCCAUCUUUUUCCAUAUUUCACUCAUAGUCACGUCCGUCGUUAUGGUGGAUACAUAGUGUUGCCACGACCUUCUUUGUGCCUGGAGAUUUAUGCCGAAUAUUAAUCGCAAGCACGAAUUUUGAAUUUUUUGUAUUCUACGAGCAUCCAGACUAUCGAGGCAAGGACCAUA